ensembl:misc_RNA Metazoa_SRP Metazoan signal recognition particle RNA
GCUGGGCAUGGUGGCUCAUGCCUGUAAUCUCAGUACUUUGGGAGGCCGAGGUGGGUGGAUCACCUGAGGUCAGGAGUUCAAGACCAGCCAGCCUGACCAACAUGGUGAAACCCCGUCUCUA